GACGAACGCUGGCGGCGUGCUUAACACAUGCAAGUCGAACGGUGACGAGGAGCUUGCUCCUCUGAUCAGUGGCGAACGGGUGAGUAACACGUGAGCAACCUGCCCCAGACUCUGGGAUAACAGUUGGAAACAGCUGCUAAUACCGGAUACGAGACGGAGAGGCAUCUCUACCGUCUGGAAAGUUUUUCGGUCUGGGAUGGACUCGCGGCCUAUCAGCUAGUUGGUGAGGUAAUGGCUCACCAAGGCGACGACGGGUAGCCGGCCUGAGAGGGCGACCGGCCACACUGGGACUGAGACACGGCCCAGACUCCUACGGGAGGCAGCAGUGGGGAAUAUUGCACAAUGGGCGAAAGCCUGAUGCAGCGACGCCGCGUGAGGGAUGAAGGCCUUCGGGUUGUAAACCUCUUUCAGUAGGGACGAAUGUAGACGGUACCUACAGAAGAAGCACGGCCAACUACGUGCCACGCAGCCGACGGUAAAAGUCUACUAU
rnacentral:rRNA from 1 species